AUUGAACGCUGGCGGCAGGCUUAACACAUGCAAGUCGAGCGGAGAGAGGUAGCUUGCUACUGAUCUUAGCGGCGGACGGGUGAGUAAUGCUUAGGAAUCUGCCUAUUAGUGGGGGACAACAUUUCGAAAGGAAUGCUAAUACCGCAUACGUCCUACGAGAGAAAGCAGGGGAUCUUCGGACCUUGCGCUAAUAGAUGAGCCUAAGUCGGGUUAGCUAGUUGGUGGGGGAAAGGCCUACCAAGGCGACGAUCUGUAGCGGGUCUGAGAGGAUGAUCCGCCACACUGGGACUGAGACACGGCCCAGACUCCUAUGGGAGGCAGCAGUGGGGAAUAUUGGACAAUGGGCGGAAGCCUGAUCCAGCCAUGCCGCGUGUGUGAAGAAGGCCUUAUGGUUGUAAAGCACUUUAAGUGAGGAGGAGGCUACUUUAGUUAAUACCUAGAGAUAGUGGACGUUACUCGCAGAAUAAGCACCGGCUAACUCUGUGCCAGCAGCCGCCGUAACAC
rnacentral:rRNA from 1 species